AACGAACGCUGGCGGCAGGCCUAACACAUGCAAGUCGAGCGGACAUCUUCGGAUGUUAGCGGCGGACGGGUGAGUAACGCGUGGGAACGUGCCCUCUGCUUCGGAAUAGCCUCGGGAAACUGGGAGUAAUACCGGAUGUACCCUUUGGGGGAAAGAUUUAUCGGCAAAGGAUCGGCCCGCGUUGGAUUAGGUAGUUGGUGGGGUAAUGGCCUACCAAGCCGACGAUCCAUAGCUGGUUUGAGAGGAUGAUCAGCCACACUGGGACUGAGACACGGCCCAGACUCCUACGGGAGGCAGCAGUGGGGAAUCUUAGACAAUGGGGGAAACCCUGAUCUAGCCAUGCCGCGUGAGCGAUGAAGGCCUUAGGGUUGUAAAGCUCUUUCACCGGGGAAGAUAAUGACGGUACCCGGAGAAGAAGCCCCGGCUAACUCCGUG
rnacentral:rRNA from 1 species